rnacentral:rRNA from 1 species
AACGAACGCUGGCGGCGUGCCUAACACAUGCAAGUCGAACGGGAAUUGCGGGGCAACUCGCAUAAUACCGUGGCGCACGGGUGAGUAAUACGUAGGUAACCUACCUCUUGCUGGGGAAUAACUCCGGGAAACCGAAGCUAAUUCCGCAUACGUCUCACGAACUUCGGUUCGUGAUAGAAAGGUGGCCUCUGCAUGCAAGCUAUCGACGAGAGAUGGGCCUGCGCACCAUUAGCUAGUUGGUGAGGUAAUGGCUCACCAAGGCUGUGAUGGUUAGCUGAUCUGAGAGGAUGAUCAGCCACACUGGAACUGAGACACGGUCCAGACUCCUACGGGAGGAAGCAGUGGGGAAUAUUGCGCAAUGGGCGAAAGCCUGACGCAGCAACGCCGCGUGAGUGAUGAAGGCCUUCGGGUCGUAAAACUCUGUCAGGAGGAACGAAACUUCGCAGGUAACAACACGCCUGCGGAUUGACGGUACCUCCAGAGGAAGCACCGGCUAACUCCGUGCCAGCCGCCGCGGUAA